UACGUAGGGGGCAAGCGUUGUCCGGAAUUAUUGGGCGUAAAGAGCGUGUAGGCGGUCCGGUAAGUCAGCUGUGAAAGUCAAGGGCUCAACCCUUGAAAGCCGGUUGAUACUGUCAGGCUAGAAUCCGGAAGAGGCGAGUGGAAUUCCUGGUGUAGCGGUGAAAUGCGCAGAUAUCAGGAGGAACACCUAUGGCGAAGGCAGCUCGCUGGGACGGUAUUGACGCUGAGACGCGAAAGCGUGGGGAGCGAACAGG
rnacentral:rRNA from 1 species